UGUAUUGUGAUAUAUUUAAAUUGUUACCUUGGAGAUAUUUUUUAUGGGAAGUAUAUAGUAUGUUAUCCUUAGAGAAAGACCAUCAAAGAUGAAUGAUUACAAUCGCUUGCCAUACAAUACGUCCACCUUUCCACCACCAGGGAAUCAUCCACAGCUCUGUGUUUUCCAGUCUGCCACCAAAAAAGAAUUGGAUAUGUGCUAGCUGUUAUAGUUGUCUGAUAUGAUUUAAUGAUCUGGUGAAUCACAGCUUCAUGAUGGUCCA